UUUAUGGAGAGUUUGAUCCUGGCUCAGGAUGAACGCUGGCGGCGUGCCUAAUACAUGCAAGUCGAGCGAACGGACGAGAAGCUUGCUUCUCUGAUGUUAGCGGCGGACGGGUGAGUAACACGUGGAUAACCUACCUAUAAGACUGGGAUAACUUCGGGAAACCGUAGCUAAUACCGGAUAAUAUUUUGAACCGCAUGGUUCAAAAGUGAAAGACGGUCUUGCUGUCACUUAUAGAUGGAUCCGCGCUGCAUUAGCUAGUUGGUAAGGUAACGGCUUACCAAGGCAACGAUGCAU
rnacentral:rRNA from 1 species